UCUCCUAAAUUGAGCUAAAUUCAAAUUCAGAAUUUCAUAUUGACAACUAAAUACAAAAUCGAGUUCACCCUUUCCAAGUUCGACCUCCUCUAGUCGUUUCCAACAACAAAGGUAAUCUCCAUCCCAUUCUGUAUUCUACUUCUAUUUUUUUAUUAAACUUGGUGAAUCUGGAUUCUGGACAUCUUGUUUGUUAAACUGGAGAAAACGUGAGGGUGUAGGUGACGAUGUUGAAAUUGGGUAAAUACGGCGGAGGAUGGUGGUUGAGCGGAUGUUCGGUGAUGAUGGUGAUUAGCCCUAAAUUUAGUUCCCCUAAAACAAAAACAUGUUACCUAACCCAUGAUACCUCACACAAAAAGUGAUUAAAUGAUUGUUUAGAUUGAGAUAGUACUGAGGAAGACAGAUAAAUUUCAUGAACUGAUGAGGAGAAAAGGGAGCUUGCAAAUGGACACUGCAUUACUGGUCUGGUUCUGCGCAGUUUCAGUCUGAUUGCUGGAACCAGAUAGACCAGUUUUGAUGGAGACUUUUGUAUUGUAAAUGGAAUUUUCUAAAACACAAACGAAAGUGCAGAUUGAGGAGAAGAUGAUUGUCUGCAUCCCUGUCGCUGGGUAUCAGGUUUAUCUGUCUAUUUGCUUGCUUGUUGUUUUAUUUCAUGAAUAUAGUUUGAUUAAUAUUUUGUGUUUAACUGGGGAGGACAGAAUAAUCCGUUGUCCAUACAGCGCCUCUUCACCGAAGCAGGUGAUGCUCUCAAGCUUCACCAUAUAGUUCAUUGCUCUCUUGAUACUGUUGAUGAAAAAGGUGUUCGAUGCGGAAGUGGUGGUUCAGCCGUGGAAGCAUUCUAAGAAGUUGUUAGUGUUUAAACUGGCACCGGUGAAUAUGCAGAGUGCGGACCCUCUGUGGUCUCAGAAUACUUUUCUUUACUCUACAACGGGAACGUCCUGAUAAAGUCGCUCAAAAUAAUGAUGGGUGUCAUGAAAAAACCUCCCAAGGACUUUGAGGCUUUAGCAAUUGGGCAUUUUCGAAAUCGUGUGUUUGAUAUUCUAUAGGCGUGUAUAGUUUAUGAGCAGGACCUGAGAGCCGGACUUGUUGUCGGUAGUGUGGGUAACAAGGGUUGGCUGCUCACAUGAGUUCCGGGAAGCUGUUGGUUUAUACGUCCCGGAACUUAUAGACUCUUUUAAUAAAAUGGUCAGAAGAUGAAAUUAUUGGGUUGUCUGGUCUCA